UUGUAAGAUGUAACAUUUAUGUUCAUAUUUCUUUUGAAAGACGUGAAAUGAUUAUAUCAUCGUGCUUGUUUAUAUGCAAAUGUUUAGAACCUGAUUAAAUUAUCGAGGUUCUUUUUUGA
rnacentral:sRNA from 1 species